AUUGAACGCUGGCGGCAUGCUUUACACAUGCAAGUCGAACGGCAGCGCGGGCUUCGGCCUGGCGGCGAGUGGCGAACGGGUGAGUAAUACAUCGGAACGUGCCCAGUAGUGGGGGAUAGCUCGGCGAAAGCCGGAUUAAUACCGCAUACGACCUGAGGGUGAAGGCGGGGGAUCUUCGGACCUCGCGCUAUUGGAGCGGCCGAUGGCAGAUUAGCUAGUUGGUGGGGUAAAGGCCUACCAAGGCGACGAUCUGUAGCUGGUCUGAGAGGACGACCAGCCACACUGGGACUGAGACACGGCCCAGACUCCUACGGGAGGCAGCAGUGGGGAAUUUUGGACAAAGGGCGAAAGCCUGAUCCAGCAAUGCCGCGUGUGUGAUGAAGGCCUUCGGGUUGUAAAGCACUUUUGGCGGGAACGAAAAGGACUGUGCCAAUACCACGGUUCGAUGACGGUACCCGCAGAAUAAGCACCGGCUAACUACGUG
rnacentral:rRNA from 1 species